AGAGUUGAUCCUGGCUUAGGAUUAACGCUGGCGGCAUGCCUAAUACAUGCAAGUCGAAUGGGGAGCUUGCUUCCCAUGGCGAACGGGUGAGUAAUACGUAGGUAACCUACCUUUAGGACGAGGAUAACCUUUGGAAACGAAGGAUAAUACUGGAUAGUAUAGAUUUCCGCAUGGAGAUAUAUUUAAAGAUUUAUCACCCAGAGAGGGGCCUGCGGUGCAUUAGCUAGUUGGCGGGAUAAAAGCCCACCAAGGCGAUGAUGCAUAGCCGGACUGAGAGGUUGUACGGCCACAAUGGAACUGAGAACGGUCCAUACUCCUACGGGAGGCAGCAGUAGGGAAUUUUCGGCAAUGGGCGGAAGCCUGACCGAGCCAAUGCCGCGUGAAUGAUGAAGUAUUUCGGUAUGUAAAGUUCUUUUAUCUAGGAAGAAAAAACAAAUUGACGGUACUAGAUGAAUAAGCUCCGGCUAACUACGUGCCAGCAGCCGC
rnacentral:rRNA from 1 species